CGUAGGGUGCAAGCGUUAAUCGGAAUUACUGGGCGUAAAGCGUGCGCAGGCGGUUAUGUAAGACAGUUGUGAAAUCCCCGGGCUCAACCUGGGAACUGCAUCUGUGACUGCAUAGCUAGAGUACGGUAGAGGGGGAUGGAAUUCCGCGUGUAGCAGUGAAAUGCGUAGAUAUGCGGAGGAACACCGAUGGCGAAGGCAAUCCCCUGGACCUGUACUGACGCUCAUGCACGAAAGCGUGGGGAGCAAACAGGAUUAGAUACCCUGGUAGUCCACGCCCUAAACGAUGUCAACUGGUUGUUGGGUCUUCACUGACUCAGUAACGAAGCUAACGCGUGAAGUUGACCGCCUGGGGAGUACGGCCGCAAGGUUG
rnacentral:rRNA from 1 species